GAGAGAGUAUGAGGGAGAGAGAGUGAGAAAGAGAGUAUGAGGAAGAGAGUCACUGUCUGCUUUCCUCUGUUUGUGCUGCGAUAAUUAGUGUGUCUGGCACUGAAUGGGGGGGAGAGAGUGGGGAAGGAGUGGGGGGAAAUUGGCUGGAUGGAAGUGGGUGUUGAUGAGACAGCAUCUUUGUUUUAAUCCUCCCUCCUCACGUAUGAUGUCAGGUGGCUUCUGAGUUCUCUCUCUGUGUACUUUCGAGUUUUCCAAGGGGGCUGUGUUGCGCAGAAAGGAAAAGAAAAAUAACUGUCACGACUGACUUUGGAUAUUUUCUCUCGGAGACGGCAACAGAAGGCCUAAACCACACAAACCGGCAUAAGCAUGCGGUCUGACCUGUAGCUGCAGGAAGGGGAUGUUGAAGAAGCGAUGCAGGUACUUCAGCCCAAAGCCGUUCUUCAUGGACGACUCGGCGUAAUGAAUGUACGAGGAGCCUCGAGGCCUACAGGGAGAGACACAUCAGCGCUGUGUGAGGGAUGCGCCUCAUGGCCAUCAGUGACCAUCACCAUCAGCUGAUCAUCCUGCCCUUUCACAUAGCUCAAGUGAUCAUUCAUGCCCUCUGUCACAACAUAGAAACCUGGGCCUGGAGAGAGAGACAGUUGCAGAACACUUUGAGAAAGCCGGGAGCUGAAACCUGUACCUGUUGAGGCUGGAGAUGAAGUCCCGCGUGUCGUCGGG